rnacentral:rRNA from 1 species
UGGGGAAUCUUAGACAAUGGGGGCAACCCUGAUCUAGCCAUGCCGCGUGAGUGAUGAAGGCCUUAGGGUUGUAAAGCUCUUUCAGCUGGGAAGAUAAUGACGGUACCAGCAGAAGAAGCCCCGGCUAACUCCGUGCCAGCAGCCGCGGUAAUACGGAGGGGGCUAGCGUUGUUCGGAAUUACUGGGCAUAAAGCGCACGUAGGCGGACUGAAAAGUUGGAGGUGAAAUCCCAGGGCGCAACCUUGGAACUGCCUUCAAAACUAUCAGUCUGGAGUUCGGGAGAGGUGAGUGGAAUUCCGAGUGUAGAGGUGAAAUUCGUAGAUAUUCGGAGGAACACCAGUGGCGAAGGCGGCUCACUGGCUCGAUACUGACGCUGAGGUGCGAAAGCGUGGGGAGCAAACA